rnacentral:pre_miRNA from 1 species
UUACUUUCAGAGUGGAGAAACUUUACUUUCAGAGUGGUAAAAAUUUUAAAAGUAAAGUUUCUCCACUCUGAAAGUAAAGUUUCUCCACUCUGAAAGU